CGGAUCGGAGUCUGNAACCCGACUCCGUGAAGCUGGAUUCGCUAGUAAUCGCGCAUCAGCCAUGGCGCGGUGAAUACGUUCCCGGGCCUUGUACACACCGCCCGUCAAGCCAUGGGAGCCGGGAGUGCCUGAAGGCCGUGACCGCAAGGAGCGGCCUAAGGUAAAACUGGUGACUGGGGCUAAGUCGUAACAAGGUAUC
rnacentral:rRNA from 1 species